AGCGAACGCUGGCGGCAGGCCUAACACAUACAAGUCGAACGAACCUUUCGGGGUUAGUGGCGGACGGGUGAGUAACACGUGGGAACGUGCCUUUAGGUUCGGAAUAACUCAGGGAAACUUGUGCCAAUACCGCAUGUGCCCUUCGGGGGAAAGAUUACUCGCCUUUAGAGCGGCCCGCGUCUGUUUAGCUAGUUGGUUGAGGUAAUGGCUCUCCAAGGCGAGGAUCAGUAGCUGGUCUGAGAGGAGGAUCAGCCACAUUGGGACUGAGACACGGCCCAAAAUCCGACGCGAGGGAGCAGUGGGUAAUCUUGCGCGAUGGACGAAGGCGUGACGCAGCCAUGCGGCGGGAAUGAUGAAGGUCUUAGUAUUGUAAAAUUCUUUCACCGGGGACGAGAAUGACGGUACCCGGAGAAGAAGCCCCGGCUAACUUCGUG
rnacentral:rRNA from 1 species